UGAGUCUGCAGGGACAUCCCUGGACCACGGCCAUGCAUCCUCCCAGCGUCUGUGAGGAGACACGAGGUGGAGCCGGGCCGGCCGGGAGAGCGGAUGAGGCGGCAGUGCAGCCCCAAUGUGUCAUGACUGUAGUUUUGUGAACCCAGUGUGUACGUGAAAUCCGUGCGGGUAACUGGAGGACUGCGUGUAUAUUGGCUGGUCUGUGGGAAUCAGUGAGAUGAAGAGCUCCAUGAAGACUAUGGUCGAUGAAGUAGGUACAAAAAGUAAGAUUUAAUGGAGUAAUAAUAAUUCACAGAGACUUAGGUUACCCCAAUGACUGAACUGAAGAAUGGAGUUAAUAAUUGUAAAACAAUGCUGUAUCACUCUGUAUGAAGAACAGUGACUGUGGCUGUGACUUUAACAUGAGGCUGAAGAAGAACUGAAGACUGUGGCUGUGACUUUAAGACUAGGCUGAAGAAUACUGUGACUGUGUCCUUAAGAGGAGACUGAAGAAUACUGCGGCUGUGUCUUUAAGAUGAGACUGAAGAAUACUAUGAUGGUGUCUUUAAGACGAGACUGAAGAAUACUGUGUUGGUGUCUUUAAGACGAGGCUGAAGAAUACUGCGGCUGUGUACCAGAUAUAACUGGUAACGCAGCUGUAAUCCAGGCUGGGAAGCAAAGCAGCAGAGGUUAACAGGAACUAAGGUAAUUAGUAUUACCUCUUAGGAAGCCCAGCUACUAAGCUCACACUGAGCUGUGUGACUCAAGGAACUGGCAGCUUCUGUAACACAAGUCUCUUUACUAAUACUUCCUGGUUCUUGGUUAUGGGUGAACAGAGUCAGGUGAUUCAGGGAGUCUCAGGCUGGCACAGGAUUGGAUAGCUCCAGGUCAAGUGAUCAGACCCUGUCACAUCAGUACUCCAAGUUAGGCUCUGAUGUGGAGUGAGGGUGAGCAGGCCGAGAAAACACUGAAGCCUGAACUUAUAAAAAUAAACAGAGGAUGCUGACUUUUAGGCCUAAACUCAAGAUUGCUGAACACAGUAAAGAAUCAAAAUGCUGCUCACAGCUGAUUACUGGUAACUCAGAGGAAUUCCUACUCAGGUGGCUAAUCAAUGGAAGCAAACACAGAUCUGCAGUCUUUAUGCUGAGCUGAAGCAAAUGCAGGUUAUAGAAUAUGCUCAGAACCUUUUUAUGCUGACACAGUCCCAGAAGUUAUGAUAAAAUGUUGCCGAGGAAUGGAAGCAUUUCAAGCAUCAUCCAGUCUCCUCUCGAACAAAGUGCUUUCUCUGGGUUUGUGAAAUAUACGCUCUAUAGUCAGUCUUGAUAUGUAUUUCUUGCAAAGAUGAUGCUCACAACAAACGUAAUGUUCUGUCAUAUUGAUGGAAUAUAUCAGCUG